AUGUACUUCCCAGAAGUGCAUGAGGCAGGGCUAGAUAGCGCAGGGAAGAAUCACAGCUGGUCCAGCCGUCCAGGGGCUGUGCAGGGCGGGGGCGGCCGCGCGGGUGCUGGGCGGGAUCGUGGGCACUGGCGAUCUAGCAGCCUUGUGCCACACUGCGAGGGGGCAGGGCAGCCUCCUUGGCGCCCGCUACGUCGAUCGUGCAGGGAGGCGGCUGCGCGGUGGAGUGGCGCGAGGUUGGCGGCCGGAGAAGAAGGUGUUGGCGCGGUGGUGACGGAAGGCAGCAAGGCUCCUGCGCGAUUGGGCUAG
rnacentral:rRNA from 1 species